UUUGAUGGCGACCGGCGCACGGGUGAGUAACACGUAUCCAACCUGCCGAUGACUCGGGGAUAGCCUUUCGAAAGAAAGAUUAAUACCCGAUGGCAUAGUUCUUCCGCAUGGUAGAACUAUUAAAGAAUUUCGGUCGUCGAUGGGGAUGCGUUCCAUUAGCUUGUUGGCGGGGUAACGGCCCACCAAGGCAUCGAUGGAUAGGGGUUCUGAGAGGAAGGUCCCCCACAUUGGAACUGAGACACGGUCCAAACUCCUACGGAAGGCAGCAG
rnacentral:rRNA from 1 species